rnacentral:rRNA from 1 species
UACGUAGGCAGCGAGCGUUGUUCGGAGUUACUGGGCGUAAAGGGUGCGUAGGCGGUUGUUUAAGUUUGGUGUGAAAUCUCCCGGCUCAACUGGGAGGGUGCGCCGAAUACUGAAUGACUAGAGUGCGGGAGAGGAGAGUGGAAUUCCUGGUGUAGCGGUGAAAUGCGUAGAUAUCGGAAGGAACACCUGUGGCGAAAGCGGCUCACUGGACCAUUACUGACGCUGAGGCACGAAAGCUAGGGGAGCAAACAGG